GCUGGGUGUGGUGGUGCAUGCCUGUAAUCCCAGAGGCUGGGGAGGCUGAGGCAGGAGGAUCAUGAGUUCAAAGUCAAUCUCAGCAACUUAGUGAGGCCCUAGGCAACUUGAUGAGACCUUCUCUCUA
rnacentral:sRNA from 1 species